UGGUCACCAACUACUUCCCAGAGCCAGUGACAGUGUCCUGGAACUCUGGAGCCCUGUCUGGGGCACAAACCUUCCCGGCCGUCCUGCAGUCGUCUGGCCUGUACUCCCUCAGUAGCAUGGUGACCGUGCCUGACAGCGGCUGGACCAGCCAGACCUAUACCUGCAACAUCGCCCACCCGGCCAGCAACACCAAGGUGGACAAGAAGAUCGGUAAACAAACCACCUGCCCCAAGCCACCUGAAUGCCCCGAAUGCAAGUGCCCAGCUCCUGAAUGCCUGGGAGGACCUUCCAUCUUCAUCUUCCCCCCCAAGGCCAAGGACACCCUCGUGAUCACCCGAACCCCUGAGGUGACAUGCGUGGUGGUAGAUGUGGACCAGGACCACCUUGAGGUCCAGUUCAGCUGGUACGUGGAUGGCAAACAGGUGUACACAGCCACAACCAGCCUGCAAGAGGAGCUGUACAACAGCACGUACCGCCUGGUCAGCUCACUCCCUAUCACACACCAGGACUGGCUCAAGGGCAAAGAGUUCAAGUGCAAGGUCAACAAUGGGGACCUCCCAUCACCUAUUGAGAGGGUCAUCUCCAAGGCCAAAGGGCAGCCCCAGGAGCCACAGGUGUAUGCCCUGCCCCCACAUCAAGAUGAGCUGACCAAGGACAAGGUCAGCAUCACGUGCCUGGUGAAGGCAUUCUACCCGUCUGACAUUGAUGUUACGUGGCAGAGGAACCAGCAGCCAGAGCCUGAGAAGAGCUAUGAGAACACUGAACCCCAGCUCGAGGCUGAUGGGACCUUCUUUCUGUACAGCAAGCUCACAAUGCCCAAGGACAGAUGGCAGCACGGAGAUAUUUUUACCUGCGUGGUGCUGCACGAGGCGCUGCACAACCACUACAUCCAGAAGUCCAUCUCCCUGUCUCCUGGUAAAUGAGCGCUGGCCAGCAGGCCCAGCGAGUGCCUCCCCCACUGUUUGCUGGGGCCCCUGAGAACACCUGGAACCUCACCUGUAAAUACCCCCCAGGCGAUCCAUCCCGAAAAUAAAGCACACAGCUCCGUCCUGGGGUCCUGCAAGACUGGCAUGAUUCU